rnacentral:rRNA from 1 species
ACUGAACGCUGGCGGCAGGCCUAACACAUGCAAGUCGAGCGCGAAAUCUCCUUCGGGAGUGAGUAGAGCGGCGGACGGGUGAGUAACGCGUAGGAAUCUACCCAGUGGUGGGGGACAACAGUCGGAAACGGCUGCUAAUACCGCAUACGCCCUACGGGGGAAAGCGGGGGACCUUCGGGCCUCGCGCCAUUGGAUGAGCCUGCGUCGGAUUAGCUAGUUGGUAGGGUAAAGGCCUACCAAGGCGACGAUCCGUAGCUGGUCUGAGAGGACGAUCAGCCACACUGGGACUGGGACACGGCCCAG